UCCAUGUGUUCACCAAUGCAGAAGCUCUCCAAACCCUGUCCUUCGGGGUUUUAAUGGAGGCUUCAUUGCAUAGGCCUGGUUGAUUAAAUCAUUGGCCAUUGGUGACUGAUCUUAGUCUCCAGCUCCUCUCCCCACCCUAGAGGUGAGGGUGGGAGUGGGGAGAGACUGAAAGUUCCAACCCUCUAAUCACAUGGUUGGUUCCCCGGGCAACCAGCCCCCAUCCAAGAGUUUUAGGAGCUCUGUGCCAGAAAUGGGGAUGAAGAUCACAUAUAUAUUUCUUACUGCCUGUGAAGUCGAGAGAAAAUUUUAAAUAGAAUGGGGAAUUUCACCUUUGUCCUCUUAGAACUCAUCUCCCCCUUUCCUCCAUUGCAACACCUUUGAGAUCUAUUUUUGCCAUUUCCACAGAACUGGAGGCUGUGAAGUUGUCUGACCACCUAUUAAGUUGCUAAAGAUGGCAGGAUGUCAUCAGACUCAGCAUUAGGCUGCCUGUUAAUCAUCACGCCCUCUCCUCCCACUUACUUUCCUAUCAUCCCAUAGAAGGUCCCUAACAGCUGUCCCCAAGGUCUCCCAGACUCUAGAAAUUACUCUUUAAGCAAUAUGUCGAAACACCAUUACUGCCUCUCAGCACGUGGCACCACUUCCCCACCCUUCCUCUGUUAACCACUUUUCUCUCCUGCCUCUGUUUCUCCAGCUCCAGUAAUCUUCCUUAGCUCCCCUCCAACCUACAGCCAAUCCACCCCAUCCUCUCUCCUUCCUCUUUCCCAAUUACCCACACCAAGACGGAACACCUGUCAGAAGCCGUGUUCCCUCGGGGCCCCUCACAACCUCUCGCAAUCCCCCCACUUCCUAUCCACCCCCAGCUCCCUGACGUCCCUGGCCCUCCCGACAGCUGGGCCCUUCCUGGACCCCUCACAGCACCAAGCUAAGCCAAUGUUCCAAAAUAGUCUUCCGAACAACGAUGACAACUGCAGGGUUAUUUUGGAAGGUCUGCGUGACCAAGACCCAGAACAAUGCAGAAAAGACAAUAGAGUGACCUUUGACAGUGAGAGCUGCGGGUUACUGGAAAAGGAAACAAAUCAGAUGGGAGAGGCUACAAUUGUGCACGUGGACGCUAAAAAGCCUACUUUGGAAGUUUUUUAUAAUCCUGGAUGGAGGUAAGGAGGCAGUCUGAAGAUGGGCACUGUGUGAGAUCAUCCAAGAAUCCAGCCUCCUUUUAUGCUCUUGCUCCACCGUUCAUUUUCCUGAUCCAAGAUGGCUCACUGCCAUGUCCACGUUCCUGUCAGCAGGAGAAGGGCAGGGGAGAAGAUGGGCGCAUCCUGGUCCUUUCAGGACUCCACCCAGAAGUUGCCUGCACCGCCUCCACUCAUAGCCUGUUGUCCUGAACUUAGUCACACGAUCCAUCCUAGCUAAAAAGGAGGCUAGGAAAAAUAGUACUCAUUGGGGUGGCCAGGUGCCCACUCAAAACCAGGAUGUCCAAGGGGAGAUUGGAUAAUAAGCAACUCUGUGAUAAGACCUUCCAAAAGAACAGUCAAUAAUGUCAGCAAUAUUUAUAAAAUAAACCAUUUCCCAUUGAAUUAAAAUGCCAUUCUUGUGUUUAUUAAGGCCCACAUGUAAUUGGAUCUGUUUCUAGAUGCUAAUCUGUUCCACUGUUAUAUUAAAAUAACUUUACAAUAAUUGUUAGCUAUUCUUGUAUUAAUUUAUAGUUCUUGAUUUUAGUAGUUUAUCUUUUGUUAACUGAUUUAAGCUAUUUGAUUUAUACAGAGAUCAAGUUAAAGAUGGUCAAACAUUUUGUAAAAACCAGUUUGUCCCGGCACUUGGAUAUUAUAAUUUGAGGCAGAGAUCAUUUUCUUAGUGCUGAUUUUUUGAUGUUAAGAAGCGUCUCCGCCCACCAGUGACUACAACUAAGAGGUCACACAUCCGUUUCAUCAUCAUAGCCUUAGAGAAAAAGAAAACAUCAUGACCACAGCAGGGUUCUGGCGACAGGAAACGGCAUUUCCCAGGGUAUUAGGCAUCCGGGACUCGCCUUAUCAUCCAUUUCAAAAUAAUGGGUGUGAGCCAGCGACAGAAUGAGGCCUGGUGGUUAGAUAAAUUCCCAAGUUGAUGGGAAAUUAUCGAAGGGCUCUCCCAGCUCCUGUCUCCCGCGCAUCGACCAUCUGAAGCGCAUGCGCGUGGUUCAAUUAGCGUCUUAACUGCUAGCAGUGCCUCUCCGCCAUUAUCUCCUUCCACCGGGCCUCAGUCCCUCUUUUAUAGAGGAAAGAUGUGCGCAAGUCUAUGCCUUAUCCUCAAAAGUGCCUUCCUUUGACUUUAUAGCAAAGAAAAGCUAAUUGAUCAAAAGAAGCUGCACUUGGGAUUCCAUUCCGUUCCACCCUGCUAGUGUAUAUCCUUGGCCUUUCUUUAAAACCUAAAUACAGCCUCUCUUCCACGAAGGCUUGCUUGGUUUCCAGGACUCUCCACAGCGGAAUAAGCUAGAAGGAUCUUAGAGAUCUACAGGCAGGUUCUCAACCCUCACUUCCUCUGUCCCCUGAGAAGCUUCUAGCAGGUACCUCUGCCAGCACUCCUCCCCCAGAGUCUGACCAGGAGGUCCGAGAUGGAGCCUCAGCUCUUGAUUCUUUUAACUUCCACGGCGAUUAUGAGCAGCAGAGAGGGUGGGCAACUAUUCGACUAGGCCAACCCCUUCACUUAACAAAGGAGGGUAUUGAAACCACACGACACCUACAAAGAUAAUCAUGUGCUCCUUAGGAGAAGCCAGCUCCUUCAAGGCAGGGAUUUUGUCUCCUUCGCAGCUCUAUUUCCAGCACCUAGAACUGUGCCUACUUAGCAUGUGGUAGAUUUGAAUGAAUGAAUGGAAUGAAUGAGUGAAUGAAUGAAUGAAUCCAUGAAUGAGUGAAUCCAUGUGAUACCAACUUUAAACUAGAAAACUGGAUCCUGGUCCAGGAUAUGACACCAGGGCCUUCCUUUGCUGGAGGCUAAUCCAUGACUAGUUCUCCGGUGUGUUCACCGUGAUUGCUUGGCUUGAUAACCAGUGUUCCUUGUGACGGCCUCUGCUCUGAGUCCUCAUCCUCGCCGCCUCCCAGGCUCUGUAAUUGCUCUGCAUCAUAGGAGGUCAUGAUUGGUCGGAGUCCACCUUGGGUGCCCGGAAUGGCCCCUGUUGGAGCACACACCUUAAGGAGUGCCCCGGGCCAGGUCAGGGAGGAAAGGUCAGGGGCGUGGAGG
rnacentral:lncRNA from 1 species